AUGCUCACUUGGGCAGCACAUAUACUAAAAUUGGAACAAUAUAGAAAAGACUAGCAUGGCCCCUGCGCAAGGAUAAUAUACAAACUCAUGAAGCAUUUCAUAUUUUU
rnacentral:snRNA from 1 species